rnacentral:ncRNA from 1 species
GCUACACUGAUGCAGUCAAUGAGUUUUUCUCCCUGGUUCGAGAGGAUCAGGAAAUCUUCUCAAAUUGCAUCGUGAUGGGGAUAGACCAUUGCAAUUAUUGGUCUUCAAAGAGGAAUUCCUAGUAAGCGCGUGUCAUCAGCUUGUGUUGACUACGUCCCUUCCCUUUGUACACACUGCCCAUAUCUCCUAUCGAUUGAAUGAUCCGGUGAAGUGUUCGAAUCGCAUCAACGAGGGUGGUUAGCCACUGACGAUGUCGUGAGAAGUUCACUGAACCUUAUCAUUUAGAGGAAGGAGAAGUUGUAACAAGGUUACCGUAGGUGAACCUGCGGUAGGAUCAUUG